CGCCGCCGCCCCCCGCGGAACCAUCGCGCCGGGGACGCGGAGCGGCGGGGCCGAGACACGGGCACACCGGGCACGGGCCGUUCCCAUGGCAACGGGCGGGGCCUGGGCCGCCCGAGCCCCGCGGGGCCGGGGGAACCCGGGGGGUCCCGGGGAACCGGAGCGGCCGAUGGAGGCCGCGGGGACCGGGGGACCCGGCUGUACCUGUGCGAGGUGUCCCACCCGGGCCCUCCUGGCUGCCGCCUCUGAGCUCCCCUGCGCCGCUGGCCCGGGGGCCGCGCAGCCCCCCGGCUGUUUAUGGGGCUGUUUUGCCUUCUCCGUCUCUGUCGUUGCUGUCGUGGCUGCUGACCAGUCGUGGUUGCAGUUAUGGGGCAACAUCUGCGCUCCCUGAGCACCACGGGGGCCCAGCCCCUCCAUUUCGGCCAGGCCAGGCCGGCAGCCCUGGGGAGGAGCCCUGAGCCCGUGCGGCAGGAGCAGGAGGGCAGAGCUGCGGCCCCGCAGGGCUCGGGGAGCUCGUGGUGCUGGUUUAGCUUUGGGUGCAAGAUCCCAGCUGUCAGUGUGCUCUUGUGCUCAGGGGUCGUUAUGAAGACACACGAAAACCCCCAGUCCAAGGCUCCAUUACCUCCUGUCAGGAACUCACCUCUUCGUUCAGCUCCGGGAUCAGCUUCUGGAAAUACCAGCACCUGAAAUACCUUCUCCAGAUGCCUCACGGAGGCUGGAUCUGCUUCCAAACCCGCUUCCAGUCUCCUCCUCGUGUUCAGAGGCAGUGUCUGUUCGCUCUCCCCUGGUCAGGUCAUGGCUGGAUUCUCUUGGUUCUCCGGGCUGCCGGGAUCCCGCUGCUUCACCCAGCACGGGUUUGAGUCAAGCACCCCCACAUUUAGACCCAUAAAAUAAUCAGAGGUUGUAUCCUGGGGAUCCAUAACAUGGCUUUGCCUCAGGAAGGUUGCCCCCGUCUGCUCCAGGACAGUUCGGUUGUGGAAUUUGCUGCGGAGCCGUGGGUACAGCUCGGGAGGUGGGGGCGGUUCCAGAGGCUGUCCCUGCUCUUUCUGGGAGCUCGGUGCCGGCAGAGGGAGCGCAAGGAGCGCGGAGGAGCGCUCUGCCUUUCACCCGAACCUCGGCACUCCGAGAUCCAUCCUGCCAGGGCCUGGGCCGAACAGUCCCGCUGCCAACGCGCCCUCCUAAAACAAGGCGUUGAUGUUUUUCAGGUGGACAAGCAGCACGUCGUCAGCCCUCCCUCGUGUUUUCGAGACAGCUGGGCUAUUUUGUUGGAAAAUCUCAAACAAAUCCCACCUGGAGCCCCCCCAUGCUUUGCAAAGGUUCAGAUUGCUGUGAGGAAGGUGCUCAGUGGAUGGUGUCAACCUUCAUUAGCUACUCACAGAGCCACUAAUGAAGAGCAUGUUUUCCGUGGGGUCCUGGUGACAUCCAUGUGUGUCCAGGCCAGCACAGGGAUGGUGGGAAUGGAGCUGAAGUGAGCAUGAAGGGAGGUGUGUCAGGGCUGGUGAAACCCCACUGCCCAGCUCCUCCUUCAGCCUGGUGCCCAGUCUCUGGCUUCUUUCACAGCUAUUUCACAGAUAAUGAUGUUUCUGUACAUUUAAUAAGAUUUAUUCCAGGACAGUUUUCAAGGUGCCUGCAGAGCUGUCACUAACUCAGUUCACAGCCCAGCCAACACACGUGCCCUGGAGGCAGCCAGACUCCCCAGGCUGGCAGAAUCCCUCAUUUCACCCUUGGUUUAUUUUUCUGGUUUAUUAAUGCUGAUGAAAUACCUCUUUUUCUCACACCAGGAUUGUUCUGUCCUUCUCCACAGAUGUCUUUAAAGAUCCCAGCUCAGACAUUUGGGUGAAGGUUUUAAUUUCCUUGGACUGUAAAUAUUCUUUUGAGCGUCAGGCAGUUCCCUGCAGCAAAACCUGGAGGACAAACAUGCCAAACACUGUCCACUCUGGUGCUGCAGCCAUGGGGUGACACUGAAUUUCUGUCCCUAGACACAGGCAGGAAUUUGGCCUGACAAAGGCAGUAAGAAAACACCUGUACUGAGUCAUGCUGGACUCAUCACAUCCCAAGCCCAGAGCUUUGGGAAGCCUCAGUGGAAGUUACAGGAACUUCCAUCAGUGGAAGGGCCCAGCCCACAUGCGUCUCAAGAUCAUUUUGAGUCUCUGCUGAUGAAAAUCUGCUCUCAUGGUGAAUGCUCAGUGGUGGCUCAGCACUAGGAAAGGAGGGAAAAAAGCCUUAGGAAGAUCUUUUCACCUCAGUGUUCUGGAGAUUUCUGGGGAAGGAAAGAAAACUGAAGGGGAAAAAGUGUUAGGCUUUGGCAGAAAGAGAUUUUAGAAGCCCACAGCUUAAUGCCAGGGAAGGCUGCAGGGUCUGCUGGGCUGUGCUCUGUGAACACACCAGCUUCAGGCCUCGCUCCAGCUGGAGUUGCAGGAUUUUCCUUUCAGCCUUUCCAGGGCCUGGGCCAGGGGAUGCAGGUGGAGAAGGACAGCACAGGACUCUGGCAAGUGUGGAAGAGACGAUUCCAGCAGUUGGACAGAGCCAGCCCUGCAGCAGCUCCAAUGGAAGCAAUCCCUUCCCAAGCCCCUGUUACAGCUGCCCCAGCUUUCUAUUCUGCUGGCUAAAAACUGGGUCUCCUAUGAGAGCUGAGGAACGGUUGGAACAGGGGCUGGAUGUGGGUUUGUCUCACAGCCACAGGUGAGUUGUUCAACAAGCCUUGUGUUUUUGGCAACAUGUCUUGACUUUUCAUGUCCUGCUCUGGCUCUUUGUGGGGAUUGGACCUGUUACUGUAGGUCCUGCUUGUGGCUGCCGUGGGCAGGUGGGUCCUGUUUGAGUUACUUUGGGAAACAUUCACCAACUGUCAGAACCACCUGGCCAGAGAAACCCCAUCCUUGGGGUGAUAGAGCUCAGGGCAGGGGAGGGGAGUUUGAUAUCUGAAUUCCCAACAAAAGGAAAUGCCAGAUAAGGUCCAGAAAACUCCAUGGGAAGUGCUGGGUUAGGAUGGGAUUCUCUUUCCCCAAAGCAAACACUGUUUUUUAUUCAGAAAUAGUUGCAGCCAGGACAGUGGGGGUCAGGGCCCCCCAGUGCCUGCUGAGGUUUGGGAUUGCUCACUGGGGCUUCCCCAGCGACACAGAACCCCUGAACUUCCUCCCAAAGCCUUGCUGGCUCAGAGCAGUGGCAGCUGGACCCACAGAAAUGGGAAAGCCCCUCCAAACCAGGUUCCUCCUUGCCAGGGACUCCUCUGCCUCCAUCUGCUGAUGCUUGAAGUGGGUCCUGGGGAAGAGCAGCCCAGCAGUGUGGCUUGGCUGGAGCACCGAUCCACAGGGAUCGGCAGAGCCUGACCUGCUGGAGUCAGCUUCUCAUUCAAAGUGUGUUCCCACAGAAGGGAGAGCUGUCUGCACUUCAGGACUUAGGAUGUGGGAAGGAAGGGCAUGGAAGUGGGAGGCUCAAUGGGGAAUAAGUGCACAUGGUACCAUAGGGUACCUGACCCUAUGGGUGUCUGUAAUGGGAGCAGAGGAAAAGGCAGUGGCUGGAACUUGCUGGGAGGAAACCCAUGGAGAGAAAUGGUUAAAGCCAUUUCCCAUCCAUAUUUCAGUCCUGUCCCACUUUCCCUUUGCAAGGCUGACAGCACCAGCUCAGCUCUGAAUCCUAAGCAAAGGUGCUGCCCACCAGAGGAGGGCUCACAGGCUGGGGAAAAGCCCCCCAGGGAAAAGUCCCCCACAGGGACUGGCCGGGCACUGGCACCAUUCCUGAAGGAGCACAGAGCCUGUUGUCUGGCAGUGGCACCACUACAGAACUACUCACUUGUCCAGGCCCUAAUCCAGCAUUUCCCUCAGCACGACCAAGAAGGCUGGGCAGGGGCUGCUCUGAGUCCCAGGCUCUGGGAUGAGGAUUUGGGGGGUCUGUCCCAGCGUGUCCUGGCACUAUAAACCCUGCAGCCUCCCUUCCACUGCUCAGCCACGGGCUCCACUGGGGAUCAUCCCAGCCAUGCUGCUGGUUCAGGGGGGAGCACUGGAGCCCUGCACAGGGCAGAGACAAGGGGAUCACUGCCUUCACCUCCUCCAGCUCUGACACAACUGCUGCCUCCAGCUGUUGGCUGGGCUGGCCUGGCUAUUUUUGCCAAGCACCUGCAGGCUCCUGCCUUCAAGAGCCCUGAGAGGAUCCACAGACAGUUUCUACUUUUAUUGUUACAGUUUAACAGAGUCUUGGACAGAGGAGAAGCAGCAGGAACCAACAUGCAAAGCAAUUAAAGUCACAGGGGCUGGAGGAACCCCCAGCCCAGCCCCAUCCCCGCUCACACAGCGGCGCCUCUGGGACCCUUUCCCUGCACUGGGGCUGCUCCAUCGGGCCCAGAGAGGGACGAGUUCAUGGCAGACACCAAACUACACACAGGGAGGAGGAGAGGGCUGGCCUUGACAAGUCAGGGCCGUUACUUGACUGGAAUCCAGUACGCUUUAAAACUGUGAGUCUGCCUUAAUCAUCACAGAAUAUCCUGAGCUGGAAGGGAGCCACAAGGAUCAUCGAGUCCAACUCCUGUCAUCGAGUCCAACUUGUUAAAUCCUCUCUGUGCCAACAGGGAGAAGAAGGAUCCUUCAGGAAGAGGUGCUGGCUUCGAUAGCACGUCAGGAGAUGAAGCUCAGAUAUUUGACCGUUGUUUUCCUGUGUCAGAGCUGGCACCUCUUGGAGCCAAGAGCUCUUCUCAAUGCCUGUGAUGGAUGUCGAGGCCAAAGAUUUCCACAGCAUAAGGGAAAUCUUUGCCAACAAGUAGCAAUGGAUGUCCCCAUGAAGGAAGAGGUACAUCAGGCCCAGAGGGGGAACAAACCCCCACCCCCAGAGACAUUAUGUCCUCCUGCACCUCUUCCUCUGACAGGCCUCAGCAUCCGAGCAGGAGCUGUCCGAGUCACUCCCUGAGGAGGAGGAGGAUGAAGGCUUCGACGUGCUAUAGUUCAUGCUCAGGACCCACCCCAGUUUGUUGUGCAGCACCUGCUUGAGUCCCGGGGGCAGGGGCAGCACGUCCAGCGUGUCCACGUAGUCGGGCAGGAGCUGGCGCAGGCGGAAGCAGCACAGGUACUGCAGGGACGUGCAGCUGGCACAGGACCGGAUCACCUUCAUGCUGCUCUUGGCCGCCGUCGAGCAAACCAUGGGGUAAAACUUCUUGUUCUGCAGCUUCGUGGCUGCAACCCCUGCCAGGGCACAGCACCCGUGAGUUUAGACAAGGGCAUCUCGCUCCUCCCACCUACCCUGAACCCAUUGGAAAAAGCCUUCCAAAAUCCCGACCUAUUAAACAGCAAAUGUGACCUUCCUCCCACUCACUUCACAUCUCAGUCUUCUGCUUUGCCAGUGUUUUCUGCUGCAGACAGACUUGGAGUUCCCCCAGUCCACCCCCCUGCCUGAGCCGCUGCUCUUACCGAUGCACUUGCGGUUCUUGAAGAACGUGAGCGUCCCGUGCCACGUGUCCAAAUGCACCCCAAUGAUGGAGCCCUGGCCAAACCUCGAAGAGAAGUUUGUUUUGUCUCCCUUGUGAUGCAGCAGACCUUAAAACACACAAAAAGAAUGGCAUUCUGUGGAAAACCUGUGCUCCGUGAAUUCCCCCCAGCUCCAAUGCUCUGAGUUCCUGCUGGUACAGCCUCACUCACAGUCUGAAACAUCCAUCCCAUCCCAGGGUGGCCAAUGGAAAGGGGAAAGUUGAGGUUUUGUAACUCCAGAGCACAACCCCAAACUGGUGAUGGGACAGUGGCACCCAGGUGCCCUGGAGGGUCCCACACCGGGUCUAAGGGCUCUGCAAAACAUGACCAGGACUGAUGUUCCAAGAGCUACCAGGAGCCACUCUGGGUGCCCUUAACAAAGGGACUCACAUCUCUGCUGCCUCUUUGGCCUUGACCUCCUGAGGAACCUCUUGUGCCACUGCUGCCUGUCCAUGUUACCUGUGUAGGACAGUCCCCAGCUGUCCUCAUCCUUGCCCAGAAGGCUGCAGAAUGUGUGGCGGUACUUGUCCAGAUUCACAUCCGACGUCCCAAUUCCCACCAUCUGGGAGCAAGGCCAGGAAGAAGAAUGCAGGCUUAAUGUCUUUUCAAGGAACAAAAUACAAUCAAGACCCCA